rnacentral:rRNA from 1 species
CACGUAGGGUGCGAGCGUUGUCCGGAAUUAUUGGGCGUAAAGAGCUCGUAGGCGGUGUGUCGCGUCGGCCGUGAAAACCUGCAGCUUAACUGUGGGCUUGCGGUCGAUACGGGCAUCACUGGAGUUCGGCAGGGGAGACUGGAAUUCCUGGUGUAGCGGUGAAAUGCGCAGAUAUCAGGGAGGAACACCGGUGGGCGAAGGCGGGUCUCUGGGCCGAUGACUG